CGAAUGCUGACAUAAGUAACGAUAAAGCGGGUGAAAAGCCCGCUCGCCGGAAGACCAAGGGUUCCUGUCCAACGUUAAUCGGGGCAGGGUGAGUCGACCCCUAAGGCGAGGCCGAAAGGCGUAGUCGAUGGGAAACAGGUUAAUAUUCCUGUACUUGGUGUUACUGCGAAGGGGGGACGGAGAAGGCUAUGUUGGCCGGGCGACGGUUGUCCCGGUUUAAGCGUGUAGGCUGGUUUUCCAGGCAAAUCCGGAAAACUAAGGCUGAGGCGUGAUGACGAGGCACUACGGUGCUGAAGCAACAAAUGCCCUGCUUCCAGGAAAAGCCUCUAAGCAUCAGGUAACAUCAAAUCGUACCCCAAACCGACACAGGUGGUCAGGUAGAGAAUACCAAGGCGCUUGAGAGAACUCGGGUGAAGGAACUAGGCAAAAUGGUGCCGUAACUUCGGGAGAAGGCACGCUGAUAUGUAGGUGAAGCGACUUGCUCGUGGAGCUGAAAUCAGUCGAAGAUACCAGCUGGCUGCAACUGUUUAUUAAAAACACAGCACUGUGCAAACACGAAAGUGGACGUAUACGGUGUGACGCCUGCCCGGUGCCGGAAGGUUAAUUGAUGGGGU
rnacentral:rRNA from 1 species